CUAGGGAUUGUAAGUCUCUCUCUCUCUCUCUCUGAAGAUAUGAUCAUGCAUGAAUAUGUAUAUGCUUAGUUUAACUGUAAAUGUUGAUGAAAAGAUGAAGUUUUGAACUUGAGGUGGUUGAUUAAAAAUCAAGAGUCUGUUGCACAUGGAUCACCCCGUUUCGGCUUUCUUUUCUUUCUCCCUAUCGGAUCUUUGAUCAGAAACAAGUCACUGGUAUCUCUCAUCUGGAUCAUGCUUGUUCUAAAGGUUUUUGAUCCAACUUGUCAUCAGUCUACACCAUAACAGCAAGCGCGUUCAAGAGGUCGAGGAUCCUCGGAAGGU